rnacentral:rRNA from 1 species
UACGUAGGUCCCGAGCGUUGUCCGGAUUUAUUGGGCGUAAAGCGAGCGCAGGUGGUUUAUUAAGUCUGGUGUAAAAGGCAGUGGCUCAACCAUUGUGUGCAUUGGAAACUGUUAGACUUGAGUGCAGUAGAGGAGAGUGGAAUUCCAUGUGUAGCGGUGAAAUGCGUAGAUAUAUGGAGGAACACCGGUGGCGAAAGCGGCUCUCUGGACUGUAACUGACACUGAGGCUCGAAAGCGUGGGGAGCAAACAGG